rnacentral:lncRNA from 1 species
GGACAGGCAGGAACGGGCACCUACUUGCUGCUGCCAGGGAGCUCUGUGGAUGGCGGCGAGCUCGUUUUCAGUUUAAAUUCUCAACUGGCAUUUGGCCGAAAACUCCAUCUGAAGACAUGAGCAUCCAAAUGUCAUUUUGUGAUUUGGCUACUGUCUGCUUGACAUAGGAAGGCACUGUCAAGAAAGACUAAUGGAGUGACUAUCAAAAGGAAAUCAAUGGAAAAUCUUAAACUUCUACAACAAGAAGAUUAUAAAGAGGUCCCUCCUGUACCAAGAAAGAUCUGCAGAUCUUUUUCAAUAUUCUUGGAGGUGUGGGGUGAGAACUUGAUCAGUUUGUAUCUACCACCUUGUUCUCUAAAGGAUCUCUCAGCAAAGUAAAAUUCAGACCUCACUUGGUUAUAAAUAAUAGCAUUGUCCAGUAAACUUCUGAUAUAUUAAAUCAGGAGCACAGAUCUCAAAAAAUGAUAAAAGCAUUCUUCAUACUUUGUAAAGCUUUAGUCAUUGAUGAAAAAUAGGAGCUGAAAUUUAUUAUGAGGGGAUCAACUUUAUUCAAACAAGGUUACUGAGAACCAGGAAUCACAUAUUUAGUUUAAUCCAGUUUUGUCAAUUGCAGAUUGUUUUUCCUCCAAAAUAGUUUUAUCAUCAUCUUUACCUACCUCUGCCAUCCUGACUUUACAAAGAACUUUAAUCAUGUUGCCACUGCUGAUGGUAGGAUGCAAUGCCCUAAAGUUUCCCCUUGAAAUAAAAAGUCUAUGCUUUCAAUAUAAUUUGCUGUUCCGUAUGGAGAACAUGAUUUCUGUAAAAAGAUAAUACAGUUUUAUAAAAAUAUUACACCCAUGUAUAUUAUACCCAUAUAUAUUAUAUAAAUUAAGCAAGAAUACCCUAAGAAUUCUAGCUGUUGCUGCUGCUGCUACUAUUACCAUUACUAGUAUAGAAAGGGUCUCUUGAUCUUGUAUGUGCAGGGAAAGUUAGAGGGAGAAAAUGAAAUGAUGGAUCACAUCACUUUUAAAGUCUUUUUGCUUAUCUUCAAUUUCUGAUCUUUCUCAAGUAAAAGAUUGUUCUUUACUAUUCUUAAAAAUAAAAAUAACAUCUUAUUGGACUUGUUUAAAUCAUCAGAUAAUAUUCAUUUAUACAAUUCCUUAUAAUGUCUACACAGCCUUUACCAUUUGCUUGAUAUUUUUAAAUACUCUUAUCAGUUUUAUAAAUAAAAUUUGAGGGGUUGUUCAUAUACUAAAGUGCAAAUUUAGUAUGAAAUUUUUAUUUAAAUGUAAAACCUGUAUUUGAAAUAUUUUUGCCUUUUUGUCUUCUUAAAGAUAAUCUAGAAACAUUAAUAUGGAUUGGUUAUUUUGUUUCCUAACCCUUUACAGAUGAUUCUUAGCAGUAAAUUUAAUUUAUCUUCUAUUGUGAACAAUAACGAAAAUGUUAUUUAGACUCUCUCCCAAUAAGAAGGAGUAAGAGCUACCCAGGUUGACAUCCAGAUAUAUAAGAGAGCUUUGGGACAUGGGCUAUCUAAUUGUUGAUUGGGGCUGAAAUUAUUUAUACUAAUCUUAGAUAUAAGUACUUAUGUCUUAAUUUCUCCUGAUUACUGUUGGUAUAAAAAAUGGAUGAAAUGUUUGCAAUUAUUUUCUUGGUUACAGUUUAUAUCCCUCAUAGAAGAAUAAUUACCUGAGUAAUGAUUUUUCUUCAGAUUUAAAUAUUGUUUACUAUUAACAUUAUUUAUAAAGAUUGUCUUGGUUAAAUAUUUCUGUUGUUAACUGGCUAUAAUUUAAUUUUAUGUUUGCAAAAGAAGGAAAGUAUUUUAGUUGUAAGCAUAUUUAGAAGUAAGCUAUUAAUCUUUUUCUCUUUUGUACUAUAUAUUUCUAAGCCAAAAAAUGAUAUAAUUGGAUGUUAAGAGUGUUCGUUUUAAAAAUUUUACUGUUGUACUACAAAGUCCAAUAAAAUAUUGUUCAUUCUUACUCUCAAGUGAUAGUGUGGUGAUGUGUAUUUUCCAGUCUUGCCCUAUAGUUAUCUACACAAUGGAAUUGCACCAUAC